GGCCUUUUGGAGAUUUAUAUAAAAGGUUGGGCCUGCCCGGUGAUCUGAAAUGGUUUAACGGCUGCGAUUGAAACCGUACUAAGGUAGCAUAAUAAUUUGCCCUUUAAUUGGGGGAGAGAAUGAAUGGUUUGACGGUAAAAAAGCUGUUUUAAAAAUAAAAAAAGAAGUUAACUUUUAAGUGAAAAGGCUUAAGUUUUUAUAAAAGACGAGAAGACCCCGUCGAGCUUAAUUAGAAUAACUUAAGUGUAGGUUAUUUAAAAUUUUAUUGGGGCAAUAGAAAAUGAAAUGAAUCAUUUUUUUUUAUUAUAAGGAUCCAGUUUUGACUGAAAAAAGCAAAAGCUACCGCGGGGAUAACAGGGUAAUUUUUUCUGAGAGUUCAUAUUUAAGAAGAAGUUUGCUACCUCGAUGUUGGAUUAGAAUUUCUUUAUGCUUGC
rnacentral:rRNA from 1 species